rnacentral:rRNA from 1 species
GAUCCUGGCUCAGGAUGAACGCUGGCGGCGUGCCUAACACAUGCAAGUCGAACGAUGAAACCGCCCUCGGGCGGACAUGAAGUGGCGAACGGGUGAGUAACACGUGACCGACCUGCCCCCCGCCCAGGGACAGCCCCCCGAAAGGGGGAUUAAUACCUGGUACUCCGGAAGCGGCGCAUGCCACGUCCGGGAAAGCUCAGGCGGCGGGGGAUGGGGUCGCGGCCCAUCAGGUAGACGGCGGGGCAGAGGCCCACCGUGCCGACGACGGG